rnacentral:rRNA from 1 species
CACGCCUAACACAUGCAAGUCGAACGAAGUAGCAAUACUUAGUGGCAGACGGGUGAGUAACAUGUAGGUAUCUGCCCUUUGGCCUGGAAUAACACGAGGAAACUUGUGCUAAUACCGGAUAAGUCUUUACGGAGAAAGCUUUAUGCACCAUUGGAUGAGCCUGCACUUGAUUAGUUUGUUGGUGGGGUAAUGGCCUACCAAGACUGUGAUCAAUAGCUGAUUUGAGAGGAUGAUCAGCCACAUUGGGACUGAGACACGGCCCAAACUCCUACGGGAGGCAGCAGUGGGGAAUCUUGCACAAUGGAGGAAACUCUGAUGCAGCGAUGCCGCGUGAGUGAAGAAGGCCCUUGGGUUGUAAAGCUCUUUCGUCGGGGAAGAAAAUGACUGUACCCGAAUAAGAAGGUCCGGCUAACUUCGUGCCAGCAGCCGCGGUAAUACGAAGGGACCUAGCGUAGUUCGGAAUUACUGGGCUUAAAGAGUUCGUAGGUGGUUGAAAAAGUUGGUGGUGAAAUCCCAGAGCUUAACUCUGGAACUGCCAUCAAAACUUUUCAGCUAGAGUAUGAUAGAGGAAAGCAGAAUUUCUAGUGUAGAGGUGAAAUUCGUAGAUAUUAGAAAGAAUACCAAUUGCGAAGGCAGCUUUCUGGAUCAUUACUGACACUGAGGAACGAAAGCAUGGGUAGCGAAGAGGAUUAGAUACCCUCGUAGUCCAUGCCGUAAACGAUGUGUGUUAGACGUUGGAAAUUUAUUUUCAGUGUCGCAGCGAAAGCGAUAAACACACCGCCUGGGGAGUACGACCGCAAGGUUAAAACUCAAAUGAAUUGACGGGGACCCGCACAAGUAGUGGAGCAUGUGGUUUAAUUCGAAGAUACGCGCA